CGUUGAAACAUCGGCUCCCAUAUGAUCACCAAAGUAAAGCAACGUAGAACCUGGUCAGUAUCUAGAUGGGCGAACGUUUGGCAAUACCAGGUGCUGUAAG